GGGGUUGUGGCUCAGUGGUAAAGCACUUGCCUUGCACGCAUGAGGCCCUGGGUUCAAUCCUCAGCACCA
rnacentral:tRNA from 1 species